rnacentral:rRNA from 1 species
UACGAAGGGGGCUAGCGUUGCUCGGAAUUACUGGGCGUAAAGGGAGCGUAGGCGGAUAGUUUAGUCAGAGGUGAAAGCCCAGGGCUCAACCUUGGAACUUGCCUUGAUACUGGCUAUCUUGAGUAUGGAAGAGGUAUGUGGAACUCCGAGUGUAGAGGUGAAAUUCGUAGAUAUUGGGAAGAACACCAGGUGGCGAAGGCGGCGAGCUGGUCCAUUACUGACGCUGAGGC